rnacentral:sRNA from 1 species
GCCGGGUGUGGUGGUGCACACCUGUAAUCCAGCAGCUCAGGAGUCUGAGACAGGAGAAUCGAGAGUUCGAAGCCAGCCUCAGCAAUGACAAAGCAUUAAGCAACUCAGUGAGACCCUGUCUCUA